CCUACGGGAGGCAGCAGUGGGGAAUAUUGCACAAUGGGCGAAACCCUGAUGCAGCAACGCCGCGUGAGUGAGGAAGUAUUUCGGUAUGUAAAGCUCUAUUAGCAGGGAAGAAGAGGACGGUACCUGAGUCAGAUGCGCUGGAUAUUUACGUGCCAGCACGCGCGGUAAUACGGCGGGGGCAAGCGUUAUCCGGAUUUACUGGGUGUAAAGGGAGCGUAGACGGUCUGACAAGGCUGUAGUGAAAGCCGGGGGCUCAACCCCGGGAGUGCUUUGGAAGCUGCCUGACUGCGGUGCUGGAGAGGCAAGCGGAAUUCCUGGUGUAGCGGUGAAAGGCGUAGAUAUUAGGAAGAACACCGGUGGCGAGGGCGGCUUGCUGGACGGUAACUGACGUUGAGGCUCGAAAGCGUGGGGAGCAAACAGGAUUAGAUACCCGGGUAGUC
rnacentral:rRNA from 1 species